rnacentral:rRNA from 1 species
UACAGAGGGGGCAAGCGUUGUUCGGAAUUACUGGGCGUAAAGGGCGCGUAGGCGGCCUGUUAAGUCGAACGUGAAAUCCCCGGGCUCAACCCGGGAACUGCGUCCGAUACUGGCAGGCUUGAAUCCGGGAGAGGGAUGCGGAAUUCCAGGUGUAGCGGUGAAAUGCGCAGAUAUCAGGAAGAACACCGAUGGCGAAAGCAGCUCUCUGGGACGGUACUGACGCUGAGGCGCGAAAGCGUGGGGAGCGAACAGG